rnacentral:rRNA from 1 species
UACGUAGGGGCCCAGCGUUGUCCGGAUUCAUUGGGCGUAAAGAGCUCGUAGGCGGCUUGGCAAGUCGGAUGUGAAAACUCCAGGCUCAACCUGGAGCCGCCAUUCGAUACUGCUAUGGCUAGAGUCCGGUAGGGGAGUGUGGAAUUCCCGGUGUAGCGGUGAAAUGCGCAGAUAUCGGGAGGAACACCGAUGGCGAAGGCAGCACUCUGGGCCGGUACUGACGCUGAGGAGCGAAAGCGUGGGGAGCGAACAGG